rnacentral:rRNA from 1 species
CGAAGGACCCAAGCGUUAUCCGGAUUUAUUGGGUUUAAAGGGUGCGUAGGCGGGCUAUUAAGUCAGUGGUGAAAGCCCCCGGCCUAACCGGGGAACUGCCAUUGAUACUGAUGGUCUUGAGUACAUUUGAGGUGGGCGGAAUGUGUCAUGUAGCGGUGAAAUGCUUAGAUAUGACACAGAACACCGAUUGCGAAGGCAGCUCACUAAACUGUAACUGACGCUGAGGCACGAAAGCGUGGGGGAGCAAACAGGAUUAGAUACCCUGGUAGUCCACGCCCUAAACGAUGAUCACUCGAUGUGUGCGAUACACUGUACGCGUCUGAGCGAAAGCAUUAAGUGAUCCACCUGGGGAGUACGGCCGCAAGGCUG